rnacentral:tRNA from 1 species
AUUCCAAGUCGAAAAAGGUUUCGACUUUGGUUGCGGCCAAAAGUUUUUUAGUCACUGGUUCAACUUCGGUUUGGAUUU